rnacentral:lncRNA from 1 species
CAAUUUGACACAAAAAAGAAAACUUCGUUCCCAAUAGCAUUAAAGUUGUGUUUGAAAAAAAUGUUGCCCAUCCAAUUUCCGAAGAAUUGCUUGGCCAUGUUUUUAGACUUAGUUAGAACACAGAAACUCACAUUUAGAAAGUUUAUUGUUUAAAAUUAAAUAAUUAGCUUAAAAAAUAUAUCUCAUUUCUAUCUCUUUUUUUUUAACUUAUGAAAUGAACAAUUUUUUGAUACUUUUCCGCAAUUAUGCUGAUGAGUCGAUCCAUCACAUAUGGUUCGGUAUCAAAAAAAUUCCCAUGAAACUUAAUAAAAUACUUCUCUAUUUUUUUGCAAAAUUCCAAAAAAGAUUAUCAUGGUUGAAGCAGUCCCCCUAAUGACAAUGAUUUAAGCCGUGGACUUGGAGGAACUUGGAUGCUUGAAGUAUUGCACCCCAGAGGGGGGAAAUUUUCGAUGUAACGAUUUGGCUACAUAUCCAGCAACAUAAAUAAAUCCUUCAUCUUCACAGAUUUUUAGGAAGAUGUAAAUCAAUA